GCAGGAAAGAUGAGUUACUCAGUGUGCUGCUUGCAUUUGAUAUGUGGUAGACUCAGCAGACUGAUGCCCUCCAUCCAUCCUGGAUCAAGCUGUGGGUGUGAGCAGCGUGCUGGAGAGGACUGAUGGUGCUUCCCUGCCUGCCAAGGGAUGGAGAAACUUAAGGAAAAUGGAGAGGGGGGGAAAAAAAGGUCAAGGCUGGACAGGAAAGUCAGAAUGUUGGUGUGAGAAGACAAAGGGAGCCUUGCCAGAGGCUCAUCCCACCUCCAUCCAGACCUGCUGAGCUGCUUCCUGAGGAUUCUGAGUGGACAGAAACAGCCCCUGGAACAGCAUUACUGGCCAAGCACAGAAUUCAACUCAUCAUUUCCCCUGACAAAGAAGGCAACGAUUAGGCACGGAAAUAAUUUGGGCUACUGCCUGUGUUGGAGAUAACUCUCCGUAAGAGAUGCUGGCUCGGAUGUUUCUUUCUCUCCAU